GUACACUGUACAUAAAUCUAAAACAGCUCUCAGAUAAUGCAGCUAUAAUUAAGGAAAACCCAGUACACAUCUGAACUUACUUUCCUCCUUUGCAGUUAGUAUGAUCACACGGGCGCCAAUAAGAGUGAAAGGUUUCUGUACACAGCAUAUAUAACAAGUGCUUUCCUUGAAGCCCAGAAUUAAUCUGCUGUCUUCUGUAUUCAGCAUGACCUCCUCUCAAUCCUUUGAAUGAGAUUUUAACAAAAAAUUUUUUCAAGGAAAACCACAAUGAGAUGCUUUCCUAAUU